GACGAACGCUGGCGGCGUGCUUAACACAUGCAAGUCGAACGGAAAGGCCCUGCUUUUGUGGGGUGCUCGAGUGGCGAACGGGUGAGUAACACGUGAGUAACCUGUCCUUGUCUUUGGGAUAACUUCAGGAAACUGGGGCUAAUACCGGAUAGGAGCUCCUGCUGCAUGGUGGGGGUUGGAAAGUUUCGGCGGUUGGGGAUGGACUCGCGGCUUAUCAGCUUGUUGGUGGGGUAGUGGCUUACCAAGGCUUUGACGGGUAGCCGGCCUGAGAGGGGGACCGGCCACAUGGGGACUGAGGUACGGCCCAGACUCCUACGGGAGGCAGCAGGGGGGAAUAUUGCACAGUGGGCGGAAGCCUGAUGCAGCGACGCCGCGUGCGGGAUGACGGCCUUCGGGUGGUAAACCGCUUUCGCCUGUGACGAAGCGUGAGUGACGGUAAUGGGUAAAGAAGCACCGGCUAACUACGUG
rnacentral:rRNA from 1 species